CCAGUGUGGACAGUGGCAACCUGGGAGCUCCGGGCCCAACAAAAGGCAAUAGCCACUGCUGGGCUCUGAGAUUACUGUCAAUCAGGAAUGUGGGCUCAAGGGCCCGAUUCCUUGUUUUCUCAGUUGUUUGUUUUCUGAGGCAGGGUCUCAUUCCAUUGUCCAGGCUGGAGUGCAGUGGCACAACCCCAGCUCACUGCAGCCUCGACCUCCUGGACUUAAGCAAUCCUCCCACCUCAGCCUCCAGAUCAGCUGGGACCACAGGUGUGUGCCACCAUGCCUGGCUAAUUUUUGUAUUUUUUUAAUAGAGAUAGGGUUUUGCCAUUCUGCUCAGUCUGUCUUUGUUUGGCUUUAAGACAAAAGAAGAAAAUCCAGAUUUUUAUUUAUAAUCAUCUACCUUUUUUCUUUCCUUUAGCUAAUUCACAGCUUUAAAAUCGUUUGGGUUUGGCUGAGUGAGGUGGCUCAUGCCUGCCAUGCCUGCACUUUGGGAGGCCGAGGUGGGUGGAUCACCUGAGGUCAGUUCAAGACCAGCCUGGCCAACAUGGUGAAACCCCAUCUCUACUGAAAAUACAAAAGAAAUUAGCCAGGUGUGAUGGUGCAUGCCUGUAAUCCCAGCUACUUGGGAGGCUGAGGCAGGAGAUUUGCUUGAACCUAGAAGGCGGAGGUUACAGUGAGCCAAGAUCAUGCCACUGCACUACAGCCUGGGCGACAGAGUGAGACUCCAUCUUAAAAAAAAUUGUUUGGAUUCAAUACAACACAUCUGAAGACCCCACUGCAUUAAUUCUAUUCUGAAGUCACUUGGGGAGAUGUCUCAUAGCUGCUCAAGAGGAACCCAAGACCAGCAUCGUGAUUCUAAAGUGAUGCCAUAAUGAGCCCUCUUGGGGCCCCUGGUGUUGCCAUCUUUCCACAUGCUCACUUCUGCUGGGAACCUGCACUCUCCAUCAACUCCUCCCUUCAACUCCUGCUGGAUCCAUUUCCAAAUCCCUAUCCACUGACUCUCAGAACCUCUCCUGAUUCAAGUCCUCUGUUCAUCUCCUGGACCUGCCUGACUGCCUUCUUCUCUGCAUGUGCCUGGGACAAGCACCAUCUCUGACAGCACCAUCACCUCGUUGCCUGUAGUCUGGGACAGACCUGUAAGGAAGAGGCUCUGGAGCAGCCGACUAAAGCUAACGGAAUGGUUCCUGUGCAUGGAGAGAGCUGCUGUUCCACCACCAUGUGAUAAAAAAUAAAUCUCUUUACAGAUGAGUAGAAAAAAGCCUGGAGAGGGAUGUGUCAUCUCUCAUCUCAAGAAUGGGGUAUGGAAUUGACUGUAGAGAGAAGGGGUCCCCCAGAGGGAUAAACAGUGAGCUGUAGUUUUCAUGCUCUGUAGUUUGAAAACAGAUAAACCUCCAGAAACAGAAAGACAAGAUUAGAACAAAAUGAGUCAUUGGAGGUUUUCUUUUUUAAAACAAGUAUAUUGAGAUAUGAUUGACAUACAAAACCUGUACACAAUUAAUGUAUACAACUUGAUAAGUUGUAUUUUUGUUUUGUUUUGUUUCUUGAGACGGCCUUGUUAUGUUGCCUAGGCUGGUCUUGAACUCCUGGGUUCAAGCAAUCCUCUCACCCUGGUCUCCAAAAGUGCUGAGAUUACAGGUGUGAGCCACCCUAAUGACUUUAGAUUAAGUAUAUACUCGUGAAAUCAUCUCCAUAGUCAAUGCCAUAAACAUAUCCACCACCUCCAAAAGUGUCCUGCUCCCUUUAUUUUUUUUUAACUUGUGUCUUUCUUUUAUAGCAACUGGUAAUCCCACUCCUGGAUCUACAUACCCAGCAAUGGAAAUCAGGAUCUCGAAGAACUAUUGUCACUCCCAUGUUUAUUGCAACAUUAUUCUCAAUAGCCAAUAUAUAGAAAUGACCAACGUGUCAAUAGCAGAUGAGUGAAUAAAGAAAAUAUGCUACAU
ensembl:lncRNA